CUUGCAGAUUGGAUUUUAUAUAGCCACGCCUGAUGCGUAGAAGAUCAUUGUUCUUGGGAAGAAGAGAAAAUUACAAAGCUGUUUAUCAACGUUCGCUUGAAAGAUGAAAAAGUCAUUAAUUCUCGUCUUGUUUGUCGUCGGACUCCUCGUGCUCGCCGAAACAUCUGACGCUGUUUGGAGCGGAUUGAAUUGGAAUCAAAAACUGGCCAAUUUGCUCGUGGACGAUGAAAUCGCUUCAGCCAAAGACUUCAUGACGAUGGUUGAAAGUCUACACGAGAAAUGAGAUUCUUCAUGAACAAAUAUUCGUGCUUUAAAUAAAUAAAAGGAACUCGCAGAA